AGCGAACGCUGGCGGUAGGCCUAACACAUGCAAGUCGAACGGCAACACACUACUAGCUUGCUCUUACCGGUUGCGAGUGGCGUACGGGUCAGGAAUACAUCCGACUCUACUUUUUCGUAGGGGAUCACGUAGGGAAACUUACGCCAAUACCGCAUCCCAUCUACGGGUGAAAGCAGGGGAUCUUCGGACCUUUCGGGAUUGGAUUCGCCGAUUUCGGAUUAGUUAGUUGGGUGGUUAAAUGCCUACCAAGUGGCGGAUCCGUAGCUGGUCUGAGAGGAUGGUCAGCCACACUGGAACGGAGACACGGUCCAGACUCCUACGGGAGGCAGCAGUGGGGAAUAUUGGGCAAUGGGCGCAAGCCUGAUCCAGCCGGACCGCGUGGGUGAAGAAGACCUUCGGGUUGUAAAGCCCUUUUGUUGGGAAAGAAAAGCAGCAGGUUAAGACCCCGCUGUUGUGACGGUACCCAAAGAAUAAGCACCGGCUAACUUCGUG
rnacentral:rRNA from 1 species